AUACUUACCUUGUGGGGGAGAGGGGAGAUACUAUGAAAGGUGAUUUCCCACAGCAAUUUAACCAUUGCAUUCCAGAAGCACUGACCAUUUUCCCAAACGAGGGAAAGUGAGUUACAUUUUGCGGUAGUGAACUACUGUGUUUACUCUCUAAUCUU
rnacentral:snRNA from 1 species